rnacentral:rRNA from 1 species
AGUGAACGCUGGCGGCAGGCCUAACACAUGCGAGUCGAGCGGCAGCACAGUAAUAGCUUCCUCAUACGGCUGCCGAGGGGCGGACGGUGGCGGAAAACCUCGGAAUCUACUUGUUCUUGCGGGAUAACGUAGGGGCACUUACCCCAAUACCGCAUACGACCUACGUGUGAAAUCAUCGGACCUUCGGACCUUGCGCGAGUCUAUGACGCGAGGUCGGAUUAGCUAGUUGGUGGGGUAAAGGCCCACCAAGGCGACGAUCCGUAGCUGGUCUGAGAGGAUGAUCAGCCACACUGGAACUGAGACACGGUCCAGACUCCUACGGGAGGCAGCAGUGGGGAAUAUUGGACAAUGGGCGAAAGCCUGAUCCAGCCAUGCCGCGUGUGUGAAGAAGGCCUUCGGGUUGUAAAGCACUUUAAGUGGGGAGGAAGGGCAGUAAGUUAAUACCUUGCUGUUUUGACGGUACCAACAGAAUAAGCACCGGCUAACUUCGUG